ACAGCACAAACUGAACAGGCCAGAGCCUCAGAUGCUCGGAGCCGGGUUACGAAAGUAACAGUGGUAUUAACCCACGGGACAGUG
rnacentral:ncRNA from 1 species